rnacentral:ncRNA from 1 species
CAAAAGUUUGGUCCCAGCUUUACUACCAACUACAAUUAAUUUUAUACAUGCAAGCCUCUUCAAACCAGUGAGAAACCUCCUAUGUUUUAACAUAAAGACUCGAUAUCAGGCAUAACAAGAGUUAACCAACGACAUCUAGUUAAACCACUCCCCCAAGGGUUACACAGCAGUAAUAAACAUUGACACAUAAGCACAAGCUUGACUCAGCUAUAAUUAAUUAGGGUUGGUCUAUUUUGUGCCAGCCACCGCGGUUAUACAAGAAACCCAAGUUGAUAGUACACGGCGUAAAGCGUGACUAGAAUAAGACAAAAAAAUUUAAGAUUAAAGCCUCACUAGGCUGUCAUACGCACAGUGCACUAACAAGCCCAACUAUGAAGGUGAUCUUAAUAAUAAUGAUAAUUUGACCCACUACCGCUGAAAAAACAAACUGGGAUUAGAUACCCCACUAUGCUCAGCCACAAAACUUGAAUAUUUACACUAACCCCCGCCAGAGUACUACGAGCAACAGCUUAAAACUCAAAGGACUUGGCGGUGCCCCAAACCCACCCAGAGGAGCCUGUUCUGUAAUCGAUAACCCACGCUAAACCUCACCAUCUCUAGUUCAACCCCCCCGCUUAUAUACCACCGUCACCAGCUAACCCUGUGAAAGAAUAAAAGUCAGCAAAAAUGACACACUCAAAUACGACAGGUCAAGGUGUAGCACAUGAGAUGGGAAGAAAUGGGCUACAUUUUCUAAAAAGAAUACAAAUAAUACCAUGAAAAUUAUAUUUGAAGCCGGAUUUGGCAGUAAGACCGGAUUAUAAUGCCGUUCUUAAGUCGGCCCUGGGGCGCGCACACACCGCCCGUCACCCUCGUCAUAAAUGACUAACAAAAAUAAAUAAUAAUACAAGUCCUAUUAGACGAGGAAAGUCGUAACAAGGUAAGCGCACUGGAAAGUGCUCUUGGAUUAAC